UGGGGAAUUUUGGACAAUGGGCGCAAGCCUGAUCCAGCCAUGCCGCGUGCAGGAUGAAGGCCUUCGGGUUGUAAACUGCUUUUGUACGGAACGAAAAGGUCUUUUCUAAUAAAGAAGGCUGAUGACGGUACCGUAAGAAUAAGCACCGGCUAACUACGUGCCAGCAGCCGCGGUAAUACGUAGGGUGCGAGCGUUAAUCGGAAUUACUGGGCGUAAAGCGUGCGCAGGCGGUCUUGCAAGACAGUGGUGAAAUCCCCGGGCUCAACCUGGGAACUGCCAUUGUGACUGCAAGGCUGGAGUACGGCAGAGGGGGAUGGAAUUCCGCGUGUAGCAGUGAAAUGCGUAGAUAUGCGGAGGAACACCGAUGGCGAAGGCAGUCCCCUGGGCCUGUACUGACGCUCA
rnacentral:rRNA from 1 species